rnacentral:rRNA from 1 species
GGGAGUCAGACUAUGUGAGAUAAGUUUCAUAGUCGAAAGGGAAACAGCCCAGACCGUCAGCUAAGGUCCCAAAAUAUAGGUUAAGUGGAAAAGGAUGUGGGGUUGCACAGACAGCUAGGAUGUUGGCUUAGAAGCAGCCAUUCAUUCAAAGAGUGCGUAAUAGCUCACUAGUCGAGUGACCCUGCGCCGAAGAUAAACGGGGCUAAAACCUAUUACCGAAGCUACGGAUACUUAAUGUAUGGUAGAGGAGCGUCGUAUACGGGUUGAAGCAGUACUGUAAGGUAUUGUGGACUUUAUACGAGAGAGAAUGUUGGCAUGAGUAGCGCGAGGCAGGUGAGAAUCCUGCCCACCGAAAAUCUAAGGUUUCCUGAGGAAGGUUCGUCCACUCAGGGUUAGUCGGGGCCUAAGCCGAGGGCGAAAGCCAUAGGCGAUGGAUAACAGGUAGAAAUUCCUGUACCACCGAAGGUUGUUUGAAUGAUGUGGGGACACAGGAGGAUAAGCUGAGCACGCCGUUGGUAGAGCGUGUCCAAGCGUCAAGGGAGUAUGGAUAGGCAAAUCCGUUCAUAUAUAUUCUGAGGCGUGAUGGGGUGGUCAAUAGACCGGAAGCAGCUGAUUUCACACUGUCAAGAAAAGCCGCUAAUUAGACCUAAGGUGCCCGUACCGCAAACCGACACAGGUAGAUGAGGAGAGAAUCCUAAGGUGAGCGAGAGAACUAUUGUUAAGGAACUCGGCAAAAUAACCCCGUAACUUCGGGAGAAGGGGUGCCUGCUUCGGCAGGCCGCAGUGAAAAGGCCCAGGCAACUGUUUACCAAAAACACAGGUCUCUGCAAAAGCGAAAGCUGAAGUAUAGGGGCUGACGCCUGCCCGGUGCUGGAAGGUUAAGGGGACGUGUCAUCGCAAGAGAAGCACUGAACUUAAGCCCCAGUAAACGGCGGCCGUAACUAUAACGGUCCUAAGGUAGCGAAAUUCCUUGUCGGGUAAGUUCCGACCCGCACGAAAGGCGUAAUGAUCUGGGCACUGUCUCAACAAUAGACUCGGUGAAAUUGUAGUACCGGUAAAGAUGCCGGUUACCCGCAGCAGGACGGAAAGACCCCGUGGAGCUUUACUGUAGCUUGAUAUUGAGUUUCGGCGUUGCAUGUACAGGAUAGGUGGGAGACUAUGAAGCAAGUACGCCAGUAUUUGCGGAGUCAUCGUUGGGAUACCACCCUUGUAACGCUGGAAUUCUAACCAUGUACCGUGAUCCGGUGCUGAGACAGUGUCAGGUGGGCAGUUUGACUGGGGCGGUCGCCUCCUAAAGAGUAACGGAGGCGCCCAAAGGUUCCCUCAGCGCGGACGGAAAUCGCGCGAAGAGUGCAAAGGCAAAAGGGAGCUUGACUGCGAGACAUACAGGUCGAGCAGGGACGAAAGUCGGGCUUAGUGAUCCGGUGGUUCCGAGUGGAAGGGCCAUCGCUCAACGGAUAAAAGCUACCCCGGGGAUAACAGGCUGAUACCCCCCAAGAGUUCACAUCGACGGGGGUGUUUGGCACCUCGAUGUCGGCUCGUCUCAUCCUGGGGCUGGAGUAGGUCCCAAGGGUUGGGCUGUUCGCCCAUUAAAGAGGUACGCGAGCUGGGUUCAGAACGUCGUGAGACAGUUCGGUCCCUAUCCGCUGUGGGCGUUGGAAAUUUGAGUGGAGCUGUCCUUAGUACGAGAGGACCGGGAUGGACAUACCUCUGGUGCACCAGUUGUUCUGCCAAGGGCAUAGCUGGGUAGCCACGUAUGGACGGGAUAAGCGCUGAAAGCAUCUAAGUGCGAAGCCCCCCACAAGAAUAGAUUUCCUCCUUUAAGGUAAGACCCGUGGGAGACUACCACGUGAUAGGUCAGAGGUGUAAGUGCAGUAAUGUAUUAAGCUGACUGAUACUAAUAGGUCGAGCACUUGACCAG